UGCUCUUAGCCUAUUAGGCCCCAUGAAAAGAACAAAACUAACCCCACUUCUGUUACUUCUCAAGAUGAAACUGGAUUCAUAUUGGGCCCUGCCUUUAAAUUGGCUGUGGGAACAGAGUAGGGCCUCCCAUAAAUACCCUGGCUUGGGGCAAAGGGCAGGGCAAGCCCUUACAGAGACAGGGAUCUACCAAGAUAUGAAAUACCUGUCUGGCAAGUCCUUAGAAGGUCUAAAACUAUUGUGCUAUGUGCCCUCGUGUCAUGCUAAAGUUAACUGGGCAUCAGGGCGCAUAAGCACGGCUUGGCAGCAGAACCAGAGCGUAGCUCCCAAAGGUUCUCCACUGUGGGGUUUAGGGGAUUGGAAAUUCAUUCAUUCAAGUAAAGAUUUAUGAGCACACAUCAAAAUCACAAGUGGCACUUUUUCCCUAAAAUACACAUCUUUAUGAAUUUGCUUUGUGGGGUCCUUCAGAGGCUGUUUCUCUCCACACACUCUGCUUGAAAUUUAGGUAACAUAGAAAAGAUGAAUGAUGGUACCUGUAUACUGUCAAACUGGAGUGUUUUUCCUAAGUCCCAGGAAACCUACUCUUAUCAAACAUCCUCAACCUUUCUGUAGAAAUCACUUAUGAAGCAAUUGCUAGUUUCAGAGCAAAAAUUAAAGAAAGAAACCCUAAGUAAAGUCAAGUACUUUCUCAGACUUAAAAAGUAAUCUAAUAUGAAGCCCUGCUAGUCUCAUCUGACUGAAAGACCUAAAUAGCAAUAAUUAUGACUGCCAUCUACUGAGCACUUUCUAUGUGCCAAGCACUUCUUUGUCUUCUCAUUUAAUCUGCACAAUAACCCAAUGAGGUGGGUGCUAUUCUACCAUAUGAGAGACUGGACACUCAAAGCCUUUAAAUGAUUUAGCUAAGACUUAGAGCUAUAAUUUAGGUGAAAGUGACUGAAGCUUCGUCUGAUGCUGGGCAUGAAAUUUAGAGGGCAAGAAAACAGUCAUUAUGAAAGACUGACAUUUUAAAGUACUUUCUUUAGGAGACACUCUCUACCUUUCUCUCUCUCCCUACCUCUGGCUUUGGUGGCAAGUUCUCCUAUACACUCAGACAUUGCCCUUUCGCAACCUCCCAAGAUUUGUGUAUAUGAGAACUUUCCCUUCCAUUCCACUUUUGCCAUAAGGAUGAAUGCCCUGCCCUUUGCCAUGAGGCUAGAUUUGAAUCCAACUUCCUGUCAGUUGUUAAAGACCAGGCAAACUGUUUUUUCCCUUCCCCAUCUUUUAAAAUUAAGCUUCUGCUACUUCUGCAGAAAACUAAUCUCAUCUGAUAGUAAAACUUCACUUAGAGCCAAAAGCUUUCUGGGACUUGGAGAAGCACAGCCUGGCUUCUCCAGCUUUGGAGUUCAAAGUCAAACUAAACUGUUUGAGCCUGAAGUUUUCUACAUCUGUGCCUGGAUGUUGCCUGCUUGCUGACUGAAACCUGCGCUGGUGUGAAGAGAAGGUUCUGCUCAACACUGGUCUCACUGCCCGCUGAGACUCUAGCAAGCCAGAUUUGGGACUGGGGCUGAUGAUCUUUACCCCAGGGUAAGAUCACCCUGAACGCCCUAUGUCACAGCAAGUCAGCAUUCUCAAUACUGUCAUUCUCUGGAGGCCUGAUUUCAAGGACAUUGAGUCAAGGCCUUUUUAUAGACUCAGGAACUUCAUUUUACUUUGCAUCAUGCAGAAGUUAGCCCACCAGUUCAUGUUCUUUCUAUCCUCAUGGGCAGUUUUAUCACAGUGCUUUUUUUUGUAUUUCCUGUCACAGGCACCCAAGGGUCACCCAAGUCCAUCCUGCCAGAUUUUAGUGACUUGCAAUUGCAGAGUAAAAGGAUUGAGGACUUGAUCUUUUCCAGAUUAUAACUUCAGAAAGCUUCUGGAGUUACCUUUGGAGCUGAUUCCUUGGUUUUGGAAAACUCACCACAAUGGACUCUUUAUUUAUUUAUAAGGCAAACAUUCUCCUACUGAUCUCCAAGAAAGCUAUGCAGCUCACCUUAAAUCUGCACGAUGAUGCUACAGACUGAGGUUUUGUAUUCUGCUUAGUGUUGCAAACUGAGCUUGCAUUCAGCCAGCAUGUGACUUGGAAGAAGAAAAAGAAAUGACUUCCUAGAACUUUAGUGAUUUUGGUUAGACUGGUCAGAGAGUAGGAGGGAAGUAAUGUGGACUAUUAGGAUUGCUUUUGCAUGGUGGUGUUUGCUUUUAAUUUGGGAGAAUUUAAGGGUGACAACUUUGCUUUUGCUUGGAACAAAUACCUCCUGGUUGAACAAGUAGUGGAUUCUAGAACCUUCCUAACCAAGCUCUCCAAGUAAUUACCAAGGGAAGUGGUAAUGGCAGCAGUGAAUCAGCAUUUCCUAGGACUACCCCAGCAGUCUGAGUUUCCCUAGGUGCAAAGUAUAGCAGGCCCCACAUCCAUCAUAAAGAAUGGGCAUCUGUGAAGGAGAAUCUCAGGAGAAGGAACUUCCUAGAAGUCCAAGUUCUUUAUAUUUGACUAUUAAAAGAAGUGACCUAAAUUAUGCUCCAAAGUGGUGAAGUGGAAUAUUUCAACUCUAUUUUAUGCUAUCUUUUUUUUAUUAAAAUGCUUGUAUUUUAAUUAAGCACCAGGAAAAUUCCAUUUGCAAUGGUAUAUUGGAUAUCUUUGUAAUUAAUGGUACCAACCUAGAUAGGCUUCCUUCACAUUAAAAAAAAAAACAUUAAAUUUUGAAAUAAUUAGAGAUUCACAGAAAGAUGCAAAACUAGUACAGAGAGGUAUUGUUACCCUUCAUUUGGUUUAUACCAUACCAUCUUACCUGACUAUGUAUGUAUUUCCCAAAUUUUCUACUAUGUUAUCAUUAGGGAAAAAAAGCCUUUUUCCAGUUCUUGAAAGUGUUUUUUUUUUUAACCUUUUGUUCUGAAUUAUGUUCCUCUCCUGAGCCACACUCUGUGGAAUCCCAAUUCACCAUGCCUAUACCCAGUGAUAGUCACAAUACAUAAUGAUACGUAAAAACUGGCUGUGCUUUGGGAACGACCAAUCAGAAGAGAGUCUGGUCCCAAAAACUGGAACAGUGUUUUGGACAUUCAUGCAUUAAUCCUUUAGUUUCUGGAUCAUGGGACUGUCUGGGAGAGGGUAGCAGGGGACAUGGUUAUUGAUCAAUGGUAUAAAAAUAUCUCAGUAUUUGGACCAUCAUGCCUGGGUGCUGGAGCAUCGGCGUGAUUUCCCUGUAGUGCACUCAACACAUUGCUUGGUAUUCAUUGGAUUCUUUUUACGUGUCCCCCACCCCCAUAUAUUACCAUCUCUUUGAAAGCAAAGACUAUGUGCUUUAUUUACAGACCUCUAAAGCCCAACAUGGUACCUAAGUCAAUAUUUGACAAAUGACUAAUACAUAAACAAAACUUAGAUUCUAGUCCUGGACCUCUUCUUGAACUAGCUGUGUGACCUUAGGUAGGUAACUCACUCAGGAUCCUCUACUGUAAAACAAGAUUAUUAAACUUUUUGUUCCUUCUAAAGCUUCAUAAGAAAUUUGUAAGAAUUUCAAGAUAUGCAAGAAUAAGAAAAGACUAGUGAUAAAGUUAGAAAAUUCUAUUUUGGCAAAUAUCUAUGGCCUAUUAUACACAAAUACAUAAUUUUUAAAAGUCUGGAGGGAAAAGAAAAAUGACUUCAGAAUUGUUCAUGAAGAAAUAUCACAGUCUAGUGAAGACCAUUUUCUUUGAUACCAUGAUACAAGAGACAAUGACAUAGGUACUAUAAUAGGUAUGUAAAUAAGGCAUUUCAAAAGCAUAGAGAAAAGGCUGAUGCAUUCUAAUUGCCAUAUUGAUAUAACUCCUUGGCAUUUGUAACCAAUCUCUUUCCAAAAUUCCAAGAUUUAAUUAAUAAAAAUUGAUAUAUAUUAUUAGGUGAAUAAGUAAUAUUUUAAAGUGACUGCUAUACCUGGUACAUAGUAAAUUAUUUUUAAGUGUUAUUAUAGUAGCUAUCAUUCUUUGAGCUGCUAUUAUUAGAAGUUUGAUAAUAUGUGCAUAAGAAAUGUAAAUUUGUUAUCUCAAUUAAUUGUCACUGCAAACCCACAAAGUACUAUCCCAUUUUACAGAUGAGGAAAUCAAGGCUGGAAUUAGUCAAAUAACUUACCUGAGGUCAUAGGGUUAGUAAGGGGCCACACCUACCUUGAACUCAGAUUUGUCAACUCUAAAGGUCCUGUUUUGUUUUUAACUACCAUUUAAAAAUAAGGUACAUGAUACCACUUUAAUCACAAAUAAAAAUUGAAAUAACUUUCUCCAAUCUUAAUAUUAGUAAGGUAAUGUUAGUAAGUGGGGUAUGACUGUGCAAGUCUUGCAGGAUCCUGAACCAUUUGGCAUUUUUAGCUGCUAUAAAAUAUUUUAUUUAUUGCAACACUUUGAAACUGUGAAUUUAGUUUGGAAAUAACUUCCCCACAGCAUGGCAGAAGUAUUUGCACCAGUCCUUGCGUGUCAGUUAUACAUUGGUUGCCUUUCAGCUCCAAAUUCAGUCUUUUGGGAUGUGUGCUGAAAAUGGAUCUGGGCCUUUAAAUAUUUGUCUUUUGCCAGCUGACACUGAAUAUUUGUGAGUAGAAGGUGCUGGAGGUACACCAGACAAAAGGAUUUUACUUCUUGGUUCCUACAGUGUACUUGUGUUCCUGUGUGGCUUCCUCCAUCACCAGUCUUCUGCAGCACAUGUGAGUUCCCCAGUGCUUAGCUCCUGCUGCACGAGGGCUUUCUCCAGUGUUCUACCCCUGAAGUACAUGGUGGCAUGCUGGCCAGGUUUCCCCGGUACCCCUUUCAGGCAGUUUCAUAGUGGUGUGCACUCCAGAGAGCAGACUUCUGGUACAUUCUACUUACACAAUACCACAGACUUUUCUGCCAUUCUGUGAGCCAUGACCAUGCCCUCUUCAAUAAGAUCUGGAUCUCAACCUUAGGGGACAUGGGGGCUCUCCCUUCAGUGCUCUAAGGCAACCUCAGGGCCAAUGACUCUUACAUAUAAUGUUAUAUAAUAGAUCUGCUAUUAUAGCUGUUAUUCCUAUAUUCUUUAGAGUUCUCUUUACCUCUUACUAGCCAAUUUUUCAUUAUUCAAAACCCCUAUAUAGUUAAUAAUUAUUUAUAUUAAACUUUACUUGCUAUUUUACUAUUAUGAUUCCUCUCCCCAGAUUAAUGCAGAUUGAUAUAUCUUGGUACAAAUCUUAACUAAUACCCUACUAUUUUACCUCUCAGCCACCUCAAAAAAGAUAAACAAAUAUAUUGCAGUUGAGUCCCCUUUUGACAUUUAAAUUUACUUCCUCCAUACUGCUCCUCUUCUCACCAAAUCCUUCUUACUGUACCCUGUCCUCUAGCCUCACAAAUCAUGAUGUUGAUCUGUAGGCAUACUGCAUUCUUCACAUCCUUAUAAACCCCAAUUCCUCUGUCCAGAAUCUUUCAUUCCUGUAAUGUACUAGAAGAAUUUGUUCAAUUUUUCAACACCCAGCUCCAAUAUUAUCUUUUUGAAAUAUCUUUAGCAGAAUUAUUCACAUACUUCUAUUUUAGCAUUUAGUAUAUAGUAUUUUAUUUUCUCCAAUAUUUAUUUUCUUCAAUAGACUUUAAUUCUUGAAGGCAGGGGCUGUGUCCUGUUUAUACUUCUAGCUCCUAAGACAGUGCCAGACACACAAACAUCAGUAAAUGUUUGUCAAAUGAUUCGACUCAUCUGCAUAUGAUGCAAGAAAUGGAAAAAUUCACAGCCAUUAUAAUUUUUGACAGUUGCCCAUCAUACAGCUCAACAAUUCUGUUCUGACCAUGUGAUGAAAGUUAUGGAUACUCAGAGAAUCAAUUCUGCAUUUGCAAUUAUCACAACCUUCAGAGUCUCACUUACUUGAUCAGUUAAAAUUCAGAAGCAGAGCAUCAAGCUUCUAAUCCUAGACCAACAGCCAAGAUGCUGUUCCCAGUUCCCAGGUCCUUCUAAUUCCUUACCUAGGGAGAAUAUACCAAGGACUAGAUGUCUAGUUAGACAGAUGGGGAAUCUGGGUAAGUUAACUGGCUUUCUAAACUUUACUUUCCUCAUCUAUACCUACACCGUAGAUGAGAGUUAAAUGAGAUAAUGUAAGUAAAGUUUGCAUGGUGCCAAAUACCAAAUGAUCAUUCAAAUGUUAGGUGCUAUUACAUUCCUUUGUGCCCAGGCUUAGCCACAGUUCCAACAAGAACUCCUCCUUGCUCUUUUUCCUGGCCUGGACAUUUGGACAUCUGUCCAAGCCUAGACAAUCCAAUAGCACAUUCCUAUCAAACUUGGAGAGCUGGACAUCAGUCUCUGCCCAUUCUUUCCUAUAGAACUGCCCAUUGUAGAAUUUGGGGCAUUCCCAGUCCAUCUCCUCGGAGCCCAAUUUAUGCUACAUCUCAGAUUCACCUUUGUCCUUAGGGCAGUUGUCCAUGCCUAUCUUGCUCAAAACCCACAACGUUAGAAGGCAUUCAGGACCCUUUGAAUGUCUCUUCAGUCUUCUUUCCAGCUCUUGUCCUGCCCCACCCACAUCUUUACUGACCACAACCUAACACAUAUAACGACAGUGCAAAAGUAACAAAAGCAUAAGAAAUUUCAGUUCUUUUUCCAAAGUAGAAUUUGCUGGGAGAUUUCUAAUCAGAACUAAAUGAUCCUGGGUUUCAUGUAAUUGAUGCAGAAGUAUGUGUGCUGCUAACCAAUGUUUUCUUUUCUGCUUUUAUUGCCUGGAGAGGAGAAAACAUUGUCUAGAGUGUUUCUCUGCCCUAGAGAUUUUGGAGCAGCCUCUGUGGAUUCUUCCACUGAUAUCUAACAUUACUAAGGAGAGCCUUUAUCCUGCAACAUGGUCCUGAAAGAGUUCAAGUCCUACUGUUGUCACUUGCUACCUGUGUGAGCAUAGAUGAAGAGCUGAAUGUCCAGAGUGGCUAAAGGGCCUGUCAAGGUCGUACAGAACAGGCUUCUUUCAAUGUUCUGGGGGCGAGUAAUGGACAGUUGAAGUGGAUGAUGCUGUCAGUUCUCCCCUUUGCCGUCUUGGCCUCCUCUCAUUGUUCCUGACUACAGACUGCUUAGCCUCUACCUCACCCAUCUGGCUCCCAGCCUGUGACACCCCCACUAGAGUCCCACCAGCUUCUGGGUGGGGUAGAUGGCUUUGAUCCAGCAUGGCAGGCUAAGUGCAGCCUUUGGUGCUUCAGAGCAGCUCAGGAAACCUAAACUUUAAGAUUGCCUCUGCACCAAGCUAAGCUCCCAUAUUUAAUGGAUGUUGUUUGACCCUUCUCCUUGUUGCCUUAGAACGGCUGUCAAGGUGUCUGCUUCCCAGAUACCAUACAGACAACAGGGCAACAGACUCUUGCUAAAGACCAGAGAGGGAAAACUGGGACCCACGUUUAAACACUUCGUUUCCCUCUUUUCCUUAUCUUUCUUCCUACAAUGCCUCUGGGGUCAAAAGGGGGCAGGUUUUCCUCUCUUCCUCUUCCUAUAUGGAGCUCUACAAGCCUGGACCUUGAUAAAUAAAGAUGGAGGUAAAGGAAAAUAUGCAAUUCUCUCUUAAUAGUCUGGCUUGCAAAGCUAGAGUGGUGCAGAAAAGUCUGAAUUUUGAGUGCCAGAAGCUGGAUUUCCUCUGUUCACUCCUCUGUAAUGCUUUUAAUCUCCCUAGGCAGAAGGAUGCCUCACGAAGACUAGGGUGAAGAUCAUGUGCUCUGACAAGCUAAACAUAAAAGCAGAUUAAGAAUUUUCAAACUACUGGUAUUACCUCUAUUCCACUAGCUACCAAAGUGUCAUAAUUAAUACCCACCCACUUAGCCUUAUGAUAAAAUUUCAGCUGCCCAAGAACCAGAGACCCUCUCCUUCCUGCAAUCAGUCUCUCUCCACUAACUAAAAUGGUGAUAUUAGCUAACAUUUAUGAAAAUUUACUAUAUGCUAUGCAGAUUACCUCAUUUAAUUCUCACAACAAUCCUAUGUUGCAAGUACUAUUAUUCACCCACUUUACUGACAAGGAAACCGAAGCUUAGAAAGAUGACCUGGUCAAGGUCCAUACCUAGUAAAUGACAAAGCCAGGAGUCUGAAGCUUGUUUUUAAGCUACUUUCUAGUUUUUACCUGUUGGCCUCCACUGCUUCCAACCUGAUCACCAUACAUACGCUGGUUACCUUCCUAGAAUGAACUGACCAACUUAACCCAAAUGGAAGAGAGGCUGUUUUUCCAGGACCUUUCCUGCCAACUGAAAUGUACAGUGAAAUAUAAGUAGAUCUAUUUAUGGCAAAACUAGAGGUGCUUAAUCUAAAAGAUUUUAUUGCUUCUAGAAAUCUUGGCACUAGUAACAUUAAUUAUCUCAAGUGAAGAUACCAACUUAAAAAUCAAUGCUGCAAUUAAGUUAUAGAUUAAUAAAUCAUUAUUCAGACCUUUAUUUCCCUUUGCCCUAAUUUUCUCAUAUAUAUUUUUCUUUUUAUAUUUGAUUAUUUUUUUCAAAGCUUCUGCAAGUACUCUUGGAAAUGAGGUGGAGUUAGUAAAUCUAAUGAAUGAAUUAGUAAAUCACUGUAUUUUAUAGGUUAAAUAACAAUGACAUUCUGUAUACCACUCUGUAGUUUUGUACACAUUCUUUACCAUUAACUUUGAACUUUACAGAAAUCACUUCUGCAUUCAUCUUUGUGUCACCAGAAUCUGUCCCAAUUCAAUCAUUCAGUAAAUAUUUUUGGAAUUUUAGAAAAAGUGAUAGUGAUGCUGGG